rnacentral:rRNA from 1 species
AUUGAACGCUGGCGGCAGGCCUAACACAUGCAAGUCGAGCGAGAAAGCCUUUGGGUGAGUAUAGCGGCGGACGGGUGAGUAAUGCGUGGGAAUCUGCCUGGUAGUGGGGGACAACAGUUGGAAACGACUGCUAAUACCGCAUACGCCCUACGGGGGAAAGCGGGGGAUCUUCGGACCUCGUGCUAUCAGAUGAGCCCACGUCAGAUUAGCUAGUUGGUGGGGUAAAGGCCUACCAAGGCGACGAUCUGUAGCUGGUCUGAGAGGAUGAUCAGCCACACUGGGACUGAGACACGGCCCAGACUCCUACGGGAGGCAGCAGUGGGGAAUAUUGCACAAUGGGCGCAAGCCUGAUGCAGCCAUGCCGCGUGUGUGAAGAAGGCCUUAGGGUUGUAAAGCACUUUAAGCAGUGAGGAAAGGGUUGUAGUUAAUAGCUGCAAUCUGUGACGUUAACUGCAGAAUAAGCACCGGCUAACUCCG